rnacentral:rRNA from 1 species
CCUACGGGAGGCAGCAGUAGGGAAUUUUGCGCAAUGGGCGAAAGCCUGACGCAGCAACGCCGCGUGAUUGAUUAAGCCCUUCGGGGUGUAAAGAUCUGUCAGUGGGGACGAAACUUGACGGUACCCACAGAGGAAGCACCGGCUAACUCCGUGCCAGCAGCCGCGGUAAUACGGGGGAUGCGAGCGUUAUCCGGAGUCAGUGGGUUUAAAGGGUGCGCAGGCGGGCCUUUAAGCCGGCGGUGAAAUCGCGGGGCUCAACCCCGCCGAGCCGUCGGAACUGGGGGCCUUGAGUGCGGCGGAGGCAUGCGGAAUGCGCGGUGUAGCGGUGAAAUGCAUAGAUAUCGCGCAGAACCCCGAUUGCGAAGGCAGCGUGCCGUGCCGCCACUGACGCUGAGGCACGAAAGCGCGGGGAUCGAACAGGAUUAGAUACCCUUGUAGUC